rnacentral:lncRNA from 1 species
CCAAAGUCCUCAGUCAUUACCUAACAUUGCAUUGAACCAAAUAAACUUUAGUGUACACAUAAACACAUGCAUGUUUACACACCAGGGCUGGGCGAUAUUUCAAUUAAGGAUGUGAAUGAUUUAAAUUAUAGAAAUUAUUUUAAAAAAUAUAUAAAAUUAUGAAAUUAUGGACAAUGUUUAAUGAAUUAAAUUAAAUUAAAUUAAAGGCAAUUGACUCUGAUACACACACACACACACACACACACACACACACACACACACGCCCUAAUCUGUACUUUGAGAGCCACACACCCUCCAUGAAGAUUAAAUAUUUUCUAGCCAAUCCCUGUUUACGACAUCAUAACGUCAGCAUGUCACAUGACACCGUCUCUGCAGGUUAAAGUAUCCACUUGUGCUUUGUGUGUGUGUGCGCGCGCGUGUGUGUGUGUGUGUGUGUGUGUGUGUGUGUGUGUGUGUGUGUGUGUGUGUGUGUGUGUGUGUGUGUGUGUGUGUGUGUGUGUGUGUGUGUGUGUGUGUGUGUGUGUGUGUGUGUGUGUGUAACAGAGAGUGUGUUAUUCAUGUUGCCUCUCUGAGGGCUACUAGGCCGAAGCCUGCUGACAGUGAACAACAGAACAACACCACUAGCCAGCUGGUUAGGGCUUAGGGGGCUAGGAGUUAGGAUGCAUCAUGUUAGGGCUUAGGGGGCUAGGAGUUAGGAUGCAUCAUGUUAGGGCUAGGAGUUAGGAUGCAUCAUGUUAGGGCUUAGGGGGCUAGGAGUUAGGAUGCAUCAUGUUAGGGCUAGGAGUUAGGAUGCAUCAUGUUAGGGCUGGGGGACUAGGAGUUAGGAUGCAUCAUGUUAGGGCUAGGAGUUAGGAUGCAUCAUGUUAGGGCUGGGGGACUAGGAGUUAGGAUGCAUCAUGUUAGGGGACUAGGAGUAAGGAUGCAUCAUGUUAGGGCUGGGGGACUAGGAGUUAGGAUGCAUCAUGUUAGGGGACUAGGAGUUAGGAUGCAUCAUGUUAGGGCUGGGGGAUUAGGAGUUAGGAUGCAUCAUGUUAGGGGACUAGGAGUUAGGAUGCAUCAUGUUAGGGCUAGGGGGACUAGGAGUUAGGAUGCAUCAUGUUAGGGUACUAGGAGUUAGGAUGCAUCAUGUUAGGGCUUAGGGGGCUAGGAGUUAGGAUGCAUCAUGUUAGGGCUGGGGGACUAGGAGUUAGGAUGCAUCAUGUUAGGGCUUAGGGGGACUAGGAGUUAGGAUGCAUCAUGUUAGGGCU